rnacentral:rRNA from 1 species
UACGUAGGUGGCAAGCGUUGUCCGGAUUUACUGGGCGUAAAGGGCGUGCAGGCGGUCUGUUAAGUGCAGGGUGAAAGCUCCCGGCUCAACUGGGAGAGGUCCUUGCAUACUGGCGGACUUGAGGGGGGUAGAGGAUGGUGGAAUUCCCCAAGUAGAGGUGAAAUUCGUAGAUAUGGGGAGGAACACCGGUGGCGAAGGCGACCAUCUGGACGGAUACUGACGCUGAGACGCGAAAGCGUGGGUAGCAAACAGG